rnacentral:rRNA from 1 species
GACGAACCGUGCGAACGUUGUUCGGAAUCACUGGGCUUAAAGGGCGCGUAGGCGGAUUGCCGCGUCCGGGGUGAAAUCCUCCGGCUCAACCGGAGAACGGCCUCGGAUACGGGCGGUCUCGAGGGAGGUAGGGCAUCGGGAACUGUGAGUGGAGCGGUGAAAUGCGUUGAUAUUCACAGGAACUCCGGUGGCGAAGGCGCGGUGCUGGACCUCAUCUGACGCUGAGGCGCGAAAGCCAGGGAGCGAACGGG